CAGCAGAGAUUCGAGUAUUUGAGCAAAGAAUCCAGCGGGAACCCUGAGACGAUGAGACGAGAUCGGCUGCAGCAGCCGCGGGUCCCCGUUAUGCAAGAGCGCGCAGCUGGCUCUAAUGGCAGUCAUUUCGCUCCCUAACCCAGCCGGCGGCCAGUCCCUAAUCUCCGAGUCCUGAGUUUGAGACCCAAAUUGAGCAGUUUGAGGGACGGCGGCGCAGCUUCCGCUCAGAACACGCCGCGCUCCGCCACUCCGGCUACUGAGGCACCUCGUCCUGCAAUCCAGGGCCCCACGGGCCUUCCGACCGACCUGCAAGCUCAAUCGACGUUGGCCCAACUUUCCUUUUGUCCACGUGGGAGCAGUAACAGGCUCCCCUUUUUCACCCAGCCUGGGAGUGUCAAUGGAGGCCUGGCCAUGGUCGGUGUAACCCUGAACCUCAACCCCACCUAGAACUGCCUUGAAGUCCCCUGCGCAGCAGCCACGAAGCUCCCAGCUGACGGCGUACAAUUCCCAACCCAUUUCUGCUGGCGGCACCGCAGGAUCUAAGGGAGGCAGCAUUGUCUCCUGGAAGUCUCCAAACGCAGGGUGCAGAAAGGAGAAUUUGUUGCCAGAUCAAGGAGACAGACCCAGAGCCUAGAGGUUUGACCAGCACACCACAAAAUGCCUCCAAAACUAUUGAUUCUGGUGUCAUUAAUUCUACAUUCUGAAG
rnacentral:lncRNA from 1 species